rnacentral:rRNA from 1 species
CUAAACCGCCCUCGGGCGGACAUAGAGUGGCGAACGGGUGAGUAACACGUGACCAACCUGCCCCCCGCUCCGGGAUAACGCGGCGAAAGCCGCGCUAAUACCGGGUACUCCGACGAGGCCGCAUGGCCCCGCCGGGAAAGCUCCGGCGGCGGGGGAUGGGGUCGCGGCCCAUCAGGUAGUAGGCGGGGUGACGGCCCACCUAGCUUUCGACGGGUAGCCGGGCUGAGAGGCCGACCGGCCACAUUGGGACUGAGAUACGGCCCAGACUCCUACGGGAGGCAGCAG